rnacentral:lncRNA from 1 species
GGGGGCUGCACAUGCGCACUGCGAGUCCUCGCCUACUCCCAGAAACCACCCGGGCGCAUACGCGGUGCGGCCGCUGCUUCAGGUCGGCGGGCUCCAGGGAGACCUGGGUGGGCAGCGUCGCCGUUUCUCCUUUCUUGGGCAGUAUUUUUCCCAGCGCCACGCGGAGGCUGGGCCAUUAUGAGCUCUGCAUUUCCAGGACCUGGUCACUAUUCAGGACACGGUUCCAGCGCAGUGCGCGUUAGCCAUGUCUCAGCUCCAGACUGAGAGGACGCAGCAUAGAAAAUGCUUAUGAGUGGUUCAGACUCAGUAAUGGUGGAUGAGUGACAUUCCAAGAUGUGGCCAUUGACUUCUCCAAGGAAGAGUGGGGAUUCCUGAACCCUGCUCAGAGAGAUUUGUACACAACUGUGAUGCUGGAGAAUUAUCAGAACCUGGUCUGGCUGGGACUUUCCAUUUCUAAAUCUGUGAUUUCACUGUUGGAGAAAAGGAAACUGCCUUGGAUAAUGGCAAAAGAAGAGAUAAGAGGCCCAUUGCCAGGAUAUUUCAAGGUGUCAGAGAUGACCAUCUCCCAGGAGCCAAAGGCAAAGACUAGAACUCUCUUUGGAAAAGGUAUGUGCCAGGUGCAGAGAUUAAGGAGUUAUCUGCAAAGAGGGCUAUUAAUGAAGUAUUAUCGCAGUUUGACACAGUGAUAAAAUGUACAAGAAACGUAUGUAAGGAAUGUGGAAAUCUAUACUGCCACAAUAUGCAGCUUACUCUCCAUAAGAGAAAUCAUACACAAAAGAAAUGCAAUCAGUGUUUAGAUUGUGGGAAAUACUUCACUCGUCAAUCAACUCUCAUUCAGCAUCAAAGAAUCCACACGGGAGAGAGACCCUAUAAAUGUAACGAAUGUAUUAAAACCUUCAACCAGAGGGCACACCUUACCUAGCAUGAGAGAAUUCACACUGGUGAGAAACCUUACAAAUGUAAGGAAUGCAGGAAAACCUUCAGCCAGAUGACUCAUCUCACACAGCAUCAGACUACACAUACGAGAGAAAAGUUCCAUGAAUGCAGUGAAUGUGGAAAGGCCUUCAGCCGUGUCUCAGCUCUUAUAGAUCACCAGCGAAUUCAUAGUGGAGAAAAGCCGUAUGAAUGUAAGGAGUGUGGAAGAGCCUUCACUCAAAGUGCCCAGCUCAUUAGACAUCAGAAAACUCAUUCUGGAGAAAAACCCUAUGAGUGUAGUAAGUGUAAGAAAUCUUUUGUGCACCUGUCUUCCCUGAUUGAACAUUGGAGAAUUCACACUGGAGAAAAACCAUAUCAAUGUAAGGACUGCAAAAAGACCUUUUGUCGUGUGAUGCAGUUCACUCUGCACAGGAGAAUUCAUACUGGUGAAAAACCCUAUGAAUGCAAGGAAUGUGGAAAGUCCUUCAGCGCCCAUUCUUCUCUUGUUACUCAUAAGAGAACACACAGUGGAGAAAAACCGUAUAAAUGCAAGGAAUGUGGAAAAGCCUUCAGUGCGCACUCUUCCCUUGUUACUCAUAAGAGAACACACAGUGGAGAGAAACCCUAUACAUGCCAUGCCUGUGGGAAGGCCUUUAAUACUUCCUCCACACUUUGUCAACAUAAUAGAAUUCAUACUGGUGAAAAACCCUUUCAGUGCAGUCAAUGCGGGAAGUCCUUUAGCUGCAGCUCUCACCUUACUCGACACUGUAGAAUGUGUAAUGGAAAAUUUAGCAAAUAACCAAAACUCAAAAUGUUAAUUCUGAUUAUUCUGUAUCAUCACCAGUACUUUGUACUUUGAGUCUUUUUAAAUAUGCUCUGUUAGUUUGUAUGGAAUGAUAUUUCAUUGCACUUUUAAUUUAACUUAAAAAUGCCUUCCCUUGACUGUUGAUAUGUAUUUUUUGUGAAGUGUGUGUUGAAGCCUUGCAGAUUAUUUUUUAAAUUAGAGGUUUAUCACUAGGUAUAUCUCCUAAUGCUAUCCCUCCCCCCUCCCCCUAAUGUAAAUGACGAGUUAAUGGUGCAGCACACCAACAUGGCACAUGUAUACAUAUGUAACAAACCUGCACGUUGUGCACAUGGUACCCUAAAACUUAAAGUAUAAUUAAAAAAAAAAAUUAGAGGUUUUUCUUCGGGUGCAUUUAUGAGAGUUCACCAGAUUUUGGAAAUAUUUUCUAUUCUGUAACCUACCUUUUCAUUUACAUAACAGUGAUAAAAGCUUUAAGUUUGAUCACAUCCAAUUAAUCACAUUUUUUAAUAGUUAUGCUUUUAUUUGUUUUUCAGACAGGGUCUUACUCUGUCACCCAGGCUGGAGUGCAGUGGCACAAUCAUGGCUCACUGCAGUCUCUGCCUCCCAGGCUCAAGUGAUCCUCCCACCUCAGCCUCUCAAGUAGCUGGGACUACAGGCAUGUGCCACCACACCUAAUUUCUAUAUUUUUUGUAGAGACUAGGUUUCACCAUGUUGUCCAGGCUUGUCUUGACCUCCUGAGCUCAAGCAGUCCAUCUGCCUCAGCCUCCCAAAGUGCUGGGACUACAGACAUGAGCCAUUGUGCCUGACCUAGUUCUGCUUUUUAUGUUCUAAGAAGUAUUAUUUAUUCUAUGCUGAGCUUACAUAGAAUUUCUUCCAU